GCUGAGUGUGAGCUCGAGGAGUCGCAUCUCCAGCCGCUUUCCGCCGCUCACGGUUUUCCUCUCUACUACUUUGACCGAGACGCGACACACGGGCAUGCUGGGCACCGGCGAUUUUCGGGACGCUUCCCGCGGUGAAGGCGCGAGACUACGCGGCGAGACCGAGAGGAAGCGCUUAUCUCUGCGAAUCACACAGUCAUACUACAGUGCAAGCGAACUCAAAUUGAGUGAAGGUAGAUGGAUUUGUAAGCUUACAUUGGCUAAUGAAAUCAACACUAACUCAAAAAGAUGAGUGAAGAAAGCCUCUAGUAAUGUGGCAUUCCUGCAAAGUGAAAACCUUGGCAAUGAGGAGGUUAUUUCACUUCACUGGAGAUAAAAAAAUCAAGAGAAGAGGAGCUGCAUGUGUGACUUGACCGUAUGCAGCCACAGAUAAUGUCAAAUGUAACAUUGUAAAGCCGUGAAUGUCCCCAAAAUAACCAGUUUACUUUUCUUUCUUGCGGCCCAACUUGCAACCUAAUUGGUUGGGACAGAACUUGACGAUACUCGGUGUGUUUCAGGAAAGUAUAUGUUUCUUUAUUUUUUUUAAUUUGAAAUGUCAUGAACCAGUUAAAAAAACACUUGCAGCAGUCUUGUAGCCACUUCCCAUAGAAUCACAUGUACAGUGUGUGCUAGUGGUUCUGCAGGCACUUGAAAAUCUUUCUACUCAGGACUGGAACAGCAACACAUUACCCAAACAGUGAUUUAAUUAAGAUGUCUGCCUGUAUUGAUGUGCAAACUGCUUUAUUCCUUGGUGCGCCUGCUUCCAGCUCGCUAAUUUACUGGAGUAAACAAAGAUUACAUCAUACACCUAAGUGUUGUUCAAUUCUAGCAUAAACUCACUGCUAUUUUUGGCAUCCUAACAGUUAAAGAUUUAGCUCUUUUUCGUCCUCAUAUCCUGUUUCAGACAUUACUCAUGCAAGUAUGAACGGUUAUCUACAUUAAUAUUAUAAAUGAACGUUAAGGACUACUGAGUUGGAGAGGAUGAGACAGGCACUCUAUAACACCUUAAUAAAUAUAUCUUUCAAAGAUGGGGGAAAAAAACCCCAGAAAGUACUUUUACAUUUUAUGGAACAUUUGCUUUGUCUGAAUGACUAGUUGUGUAUUCAGUCUUACGUUUAAAUGCCAAAGUCAUGUUAUGGGCUAAACUGUGUUUUUGAAGCAUGAAAGUGUUUAUCAAAAUGCAAGUGCAAGCACAUUACCUUGUAAAAUUUCAGUUAAUAGCCUCUGAAAUGCAUUAUAAAGGAAAGAGCAAUGGUGUAGUGGUGUGGAAAAGCCCAAAACCUCAUUUGUGAGGUAGACAGGGAGACAAGUAGAUGGGCAACUAUAGAAAGAGGAAGAGAGAGAGACAGAUAUUAGAUGUCAGGAAUAUGUUCUGCUUCCCCAGUUGCUUCCCCAGGGGAAGCAUAUGAGUGUGUAGAGUGCAGCCGAGCCCUAUGCUGAAACAACUGACUGUGUCUUAAUAAGCCAGCAGUGUAACGAGAUCAGAUCCAUUGCACUUGCCUGCUACUGUACUCUGACAGCAAAAUAGUUUAUUCUGUAGGGCAUGGCAGCCUUCUUUGCUUUUGUUUCCCACUCAUACAUUUGAUGCAAAUCAAUCUCUUAAAUACCCAGUUGUCUACAUCUCCUGCAGUGAUAAUUAUUUUAAAGGCAGCUGGUGAAUGGCAGGCAGUUCACUGCGUAUCAGUGUGUAACAAUGUUUUUUUUUGUUUUAUCUGCUUAUAUUGUGUAUUGUGAAGUACGUCAAAAUAUUGUAUAUGGUGCAUAGCUAUAUUAUCUACAGUAUGUAUCUAUAUAAUGAAUCCUAUAAUUUGGAUUAAUUCUGUGGUUAGCAUAUGUGGCGUUCUGUGAAAAGUUAGAAUGAUUGAUUUUGAGCUACCUACAGUAUGAUGACAUCGCUAACAUAUGACCAGACGUUAAAAAGUAUCGUGGAAUUUCACAACUCAAAUUCCAUGGUUAUUCAUUCAACAUAUAAAUAUCAGCAUUUGGAUGGUUAUUGCAUUGUAAUGAAUGUUAAUUAUCCUGCUGCAUGACAGUCAAGUAAACAUUUGGUUGUGGUUUAUACUUUGUUCAGCAGCGCUGUUGAGCGCCAUUGACCUUACAUGACCCCAAACCAAGAAUUUGCUUUGUAUUCGCCAGAUAUGUUCUUUCAGUAAAACGAAAGAAACAAAUCAAACUAUUAAUAUCUUUCAAUGUAUGUAUGUCUGUUAAGCUAGUUUAUUUAACUUUUUCAAAUUGUUGUUAGUUAUUAUUUUUGUUGCUAAAAUGGUUGGUCAAAUUAAAACAAACUAUGUUUUACUGUUUAUAAACCUUAUUGCUAUACCCGUCAACUGCCAUUAUUCACAUGACGAGAUACUGAGCGUUACAGCCUAUGUCCUUUUAUGAUUAUGAGCAAAACCCUGAAUUUGUUUGUAUUCACCAGCUAAUAAAUGUGGC
ensembl:lncRNA